AACGAACGCUGGCGGCAUGCCUAACACAUGCAAGUCGAACGAGACCUUCGGGUCUAGUGGCGCACGGGUGCGUAACGCGUGGGAACCUGCCCUUAGGUUCGGAAUAACUCCCCGAAAGGGGUGCUAAUACCGGAUAAUGUCUUCGGACCACAGAUUUAUCGCCUUUGGAUGGGCCCGCGUUGGAUUGCUAGUUGGUAGGGUAAAAGCCUACCAAGGCGACGAUCCAUAGCUGGUCUGAGAGGAAGAGCAGCCACACUGGGACUGAGACACGGCCCAGACUCCUACGGGAGGCAGCAGUGGGGAAUAUUGGACAGUGGGCGAAAGCCUGAUCCAGCAAUGCCGCGUGAGUGAUGAAGUCCUUAGGGUUGUAAAGCUCUUUUACCCGGGAUGAUAAUGACGGUACCGGGAGAAUAAGCACCGGCUAACUCCGUG
rnacentral:rRNA from 1 species